UACAGAGGGUGCCAGCGUUAUUCGGAAUUAUUGGGCGUAAAGGGCGCGUAGGCGGCCAUGCGUGUCUUCCGUGAAAUCCCUCGGCUUAACUGAGGACGUGCGGAAGAAACUGCAAGGCUUGAGUCCGGGAGAGGGGGGUGGAAUUCCCAGUGUAGCGGUGAAAUGCGUAGAUAUUGGGAGGAACACCGGUGGCGAAGGCGGCCCCCUGGACCGGUACUGACGCUGAGGCGCGAAAGCGUGGGGAGCGAACAGG
rnacentral:rRNA from 1 species